UGCCUGAUAGCUCACUCGGUUAAAGCAUCGCAUUGUGGAGUCGAAGUGACUAUCACGGCGCGGGUUCGAGCCCCGGUCAUACCA